rnacentral:tRNA from 1 species
GGCCCAAUGGUCUAGUGGUAUGAUUCUCGCUUUGGGUUGCUCAAUCCAAGCAUGCGAGAGGCCCCGCGUUCGAAUCGCGGUUGGGCCC